rnacentral:rRNA from 1 species
AAUGACCUCGGAUCAGGUACG